rnacentral:rRNA from 1 species
CCUACGGGAGGCAGCAGUGGGGAAUCUUGCGCAAUGGGCGAAAGCCUGACGCAGCCAUGCCGCGUGAAUGAUGAAGGUCUUAGGAUUGUAAAAUUCUUUCACCGGGGACGAUAAUGACGGUACCCGGAGAAGAAGCCCCGGCUAACUUCGUGCCAGCAGCCGCGGUAAUACGAAGGGGGCUAGCGUUGCUCGGAAUUACUGGGCGUAAAGGGAGCGUAGGCGGAUAGUUUAGUCAGAGGUGAAAGCCCAGGGCUCAACCUUGGAAUUGCCUUUGAUACUGGCUAUCUUGAGUACGGAAGAGGUAUGUGGAACUCCGAGUGUAGAGGUGAAAUUCGUAGAUAUUCGGAAGAACACCAGUGGCGAAGGCGACAUACUGGUCCGUUACUGACGCUGAGGCUCGAAAGCGUGGGGAGCAAACAGGAUUAGAUACCCUGGUAGUCCACGCUGUAAACGAUGAGUGCUAGUUGUCGGCAGGCAUGCCUGUCGGUGACGCAGCUACGACAUAAGACACUCCGCCGUCGGGGAGGUACGGUCGGCGAAGAAUUAAACUAACAAAGGAAAGUUAGACGGCGUGAGACGUGCCGAACGGACGACGACGAGGGAGGUAGG